AAACUAGAACUGUCCAAACGGGACAAAAUACCCCCCGCUGGGUUUUUCAGAAGUACGUUUUUCCAUAAUAAAGAUAUGUAUCAAACACAAAUUAUGAAUUUUUUCUUCCAGUGACCUUGAACUUCCCCAAAUGACCUUGGGUCAAGGUCAUGACACACCUUUGGGUCAUGGGCAAUCUUUGUGUGAAAUGAGAACCUACCAAGUUUUUCCAUAAUAAAGAUAUGUAUCAAACACGAAUUAUGAAAUUUUUCUUCCAGUGACCUUGAACUUCCCCAAAUUACCUUAAGUCAAGGUCAUGACACACCCUUAGGUCAUGAGCAAUCUUAGUGUGGAGUAGUAGAUUCUAAUGUCCCUUUGUAAGAAAGAUAUGGACCGGACACGAUUGCACAGACAGACGGACAGCUAGACAGACGGACAAACAGACGGACGGACGGACAGACGGACAAGGUGAUUCCUAUAUACCCCCCCAAACUUCGUUUGCGGGGGGUAUAA